CACGUAGGGUGCGAGCGUUGUCCGGAAUUAUUGGGCGUAAAGAGCCUCGUAGGCGGUGUGUCGCGUCGGCCGUGAAAACCUGCAGCUUAACUGUGGGCUUGCGGUCGAUACGGGCAUCACUGGAGUUCGGCAGGGGAGACUGGAAUUCCUGGUGUAGCGGUGAAAUGCGCAGAUAUCAGGAGGAACACCGGUGGCGAAGGCGGGUCUCUGGGCCGAUACUGACGCUGAGGAGCGAAAGCGUGGGGAGCGAACAGG
rnacentral:rRNA from 1 species